CUGCACUUGGUUGUGUGGUUGGUACCCAGGGUGAUUACGUUGAGGAAAUCAGAGUGCUUCCAGCAAGUGAAUGUAUUGCAUACAAAAGCACGGAAUAAUGAUAAAGCUCAUUGUUAUGCUUGUUGGUUUCGUAACGGGGAUAAGGAUUGAUGGGGAUGGUUGGGGGCAUUUGUAUUUAACUGUCAGAGGUGAAAUUCUUGGAUUUGUUAAAGACAAACUAAUGCGAAUGCAUUUGCCAAGGAUGUCUUCUUUAAUCAAGAACGAAAGUUAGGGGAUCGAAGACGAUUAGAUACCGUCCUAGUCUUAACCAUAAACUAUGCUACCAAGAAAUUGGAGGCGGUUGCCUGUUGAUUCCUUCGGCAUUUUUUGAGAAAUCAAAGUCUUUGAGUUCCAGGGGGAGUAUGGUCGCAAGACUGAAACUUAA
rnacentral:rRNA from 1 species